UAUUCUGAAAACAUACAACUUAAGUAGCUGAUUCUGUGGAUAGUUGAAAUUCAAAUGUUGCGUACAUGCUUGAAGUCCUCGAAAACACUGUGUGGUUCUUAUUAUACUUUUAAUUUUGCUUCCAGAAAAAGAAAUUCUACAAAAAACUAGUGUCACUGUGGCUGGUGGGUUAAUGAGAGCUUUAUUUGAACUGCAUCAGUACACUGCAGAUUUUCCCCUCCUUUUCUUUAAAGAGUGAAGGGAUAACCAGGACCUCUGAGACUACAUGGACAGCCGGGACCACCCUUAAGUAUACAUAUAUUCUUUGACACAUCAUCUCCAUUUCUUUGUCCAUGUAAUUUCCACAAACUGUUGGUGCCAUUGACAAUGGAACCAAAUUCCUUAUGUGUGUGUGUGUGUGUAUAUAUAUAUAUAUAUAUAUAUAUAUAAACAUUCUAUGAUAUAAUUAUAUUUUUACAGUUUGUUUAUCUAUUUUAAGGGCCCUCCUGGAGUUCCAGGCAAACAGAGGAGGAAAGGAGAGCGAGGGAAACUCAUAGGGAAGAAUAGGACCGGUUGGAAUGCCAGGGUCACCUGGGAGACCAGGACCAGAGGGCACAGCUGGGAAGGAUGGGGAGACGGGCCCUCCAGGACAACCUGGGGAGGAUGUAAGACUUAUGGGAAUCUCAAUGCUCCAUAUGCAUCUUUCCAAAGUGAUUUAAGUUUUAGUAGUGUUAAAUAUAUUGUAUAUUCUGCCUAUAAUUGCAUACAUGUCUCUGUGCGUUUUUUCUGUAGGGCCCAAAAGGUUAUGUGGGAGAGAAGGGCAGGAGCUGGGUGAGUGGGUAAGAAUGACCAGGGUUUUUCUGUGGUUAAUGCAAUAACUAGUCCCUCAGGAAAUCUGUGCUUACAGAACUCCAGUGAAAACUGCACAGUUUUCCACAGAACUGGAACUUCUAUCAAGCAUUCAAUUCUGCAAAUCCUUUGACACAUUUGUGCCAGCUAUUUUGAAUACUGACAUUUUGUAAUAUUGAAUUAUAUUCUGCAGAACUCCGCAAAUUCCAUUUGGGCCUAGCCAUAACAUAACAUAAUCUAAAUAUCCAAGACAUAAACAGGAGUCCACUACUGUCCACAC
ensembl:lncRNA